UGACAAAUAGGUUAGUGCUAUUGAGCUAAGGAUGAACAAUGACCAUUGAACUUUGGCUGUAUAUUGCUGUUUGAAAUGAUGGAACUGGUCAUUUGAUCACAUUCAGCUUGAUCAUCUACAUCUGCUAGUGACCCAGUCCCUGAGAGUCACCAAGAAUUGAUUCCACUGAGGCGAUGGCAGGCGGGGCUUUGGUGUUGGAAAAGUCAGUGGUUGAUAUGGACAGCACAGACUCACAUAAGCUGCUGGUUUAUUACACUAGAAAAAUAAGGCUCUUUUAAUGCAAGAGAAAGAAAACCAGCUACAACCACCUAAAAUCAAAUGGGGAGUUUCAUGGUGCACAUCCACAAAGUGGACAUGUCAGGACAGGGGAACAUCUGGAUCACAAGAAUGCCGGUUCCCAAAGACAAUAAGGAUGGUUUCCAGCCUCUACUAUUUCUGCACUGCGAAGCCAUCAUCUCCAUUUCAGACUUUCCCACUAAGCAGGAAAUACAAUUGCCAACAGCAGCUAGCUUCGUACCUCAAAGCAACACCAGAAAGAAGAAGCAUUUCCAUCGAGGGAAGGAGUGAGUGUAAGGAGUAUUUCCCCCAAAAGAAAGAGAAGAACAAAGAAGCAUAAAGAUUGAUUACUGCUUACCUCUUCAAGAAUAUGGCUGUCUUGGGGAACCAGACAGAGAUCAUCUUCUAAACCUGACUGUACGUUUUGAUCAUCUGAGAAGAUUUUAAGAAAACAUGGAUCCCAAAACUUACUGUAUACCUAGUGAACCAGAAAAUCUGGAGGAUGAAAUACAAAAAUAUAUUUAAAAUUAAAAACCUUCUCUGUCCUCCAUUUCUAACCACCACUAUACUGCCAAGAAGCGCCAAUAUUGACUCCUGGUGUGUGUACUUCA
rnacentral:lncRNA from 1 species